UAACGCACUGUUACAGGCGCGAAGUCGGUCUGUAAAAUAGCUACAUUUAUGCGGAUAAAACUUGUAGGUCAGCACAUCAACCCCAGUCAAGCACAAUCCAAUAGCAGCUAUGCUCAGACCUGCCCGACCCAACAGCAGCUACGCCCCAACCUGCUCAGCCCAACAGCAGCUGCACUCAAACCAGCCCAACCCAACAGCAGCUGCACUCAAACCAGCCCAACCCAACAGCAGCACCUUUCAGACCAGCUCAACCCAGCAGAUAAGCACCAUCAGGCAAGCUUUGGCUAGGCCUGUCCAGGAUUCUUGGGUCUGAAUUUGUUGCAGAUUUUAAGGUAAAAACAAAAAACCAGCAGAACCCGGCAAUAACCUGACUUGCCACCAGAGAGCUAUGGGUUUGAAUCCCAAAUUAAACGAAUGAAGUAGACGA